rnacentral:rRNA from 1 species
AACGAACGCUGGCGGCAGGCCUAACACAUGCAAGUCGAGCGCGCCCUUCGGGGUGAGCGGCGGACGGGUGAGUAACGCGUGGGAACGUGCCCUUUUCUACGGAAUAGCCUCGGGAAACUGAGAGUAAUACCGUAUACGCCCUUUGGGGGAAAGAUUUAUCGGAAAAGGAUCGGCCCGCGUUGGAUUAGGUAGUUGGUGGGGUAAUGGCCUACCAAGCCGACGAUCCAUAGCUGGUUUGAGAGGAUGAUCAGCCACACUGGGACUGAGACACGGCCCAGACUCCUACGGGAGGCAGCAGUGGGGAAUCUUAGACAAUGGUGGCAACCCUGAUCUAGCCAUGCCGCGUGAGUGAUGAAGGCCUUAGGGUUGUAAAGCUCUUUCAGCUGGGAAGAUAAUGACGGUACCAGCAGAAGAAGCCCCGGCUAACUCCGUG